AGCAGCCGCGGUAAUUCCAGCUCCAAUAGCGUAUAUUAAAGUUGUUGCAGUUAAAAAGCUCGUAGUUGAACUUCAGGCCUGGCUGGACGGUCCGCCUUCCGGGCGAGCACUGUCUGUGGUCGGGUCCUACCUUCUGGCGAAGCGUUAUGGCCUUAACCGGCUGUGGCGGGGAACCAGGACUUUUACUGUGAAAAAAUUAGAGUGUUCAAAGCAGGCAAUUCGCUUGGAUACAUUAGCAUGGAAUAAUGGAAUAGGACAAUGGUUCUAUUUGUUGGUUUCUAGGACUGUUGUAAUGAUUAAUAGGGAUAGUUGGGGGCAUUAGUAUUCAAUUGUCAGAGGUGAAAUUCUUGGAUUUAUUGAAGACUAACUACUGCGAAAGCAUUUGCCAAGGAUGUUUUCAUUAAUCAAGAACGAAAGUUAGGGGAUCGAAGACGAUCAGAUACCGUCGUAGUCUUAACCAUAAACUAUGCCGACUAGGAAUCGGGCGAUGUUGACAAAAUGACGCGCUCGGCACCUC
rnacentral:rRNA from 1 species